ensembl:ncRNA lncRNA:CR45722 long non-coding RNA:CR45722
AUCUCUUAUCUCGUCUGAGUGGCACAAAGCAAUAUUAUAUUUUUAAUAUUCGCCGACCAUUAUUUUGUCACUUUCAUCGAGAGCACACUUAGACCUUUUGGCUCACAACCAAUCCGAUAGCGAUUCCUGAUCCCAUUUCUCAUUGAGGUCUGCGACAUUUCGGAACUCUGGCUUCAAGUGCAGAUUAAACAAUAAUUAUGAAACUCUGAUGCAAAUCGCCGGCGACAGAGAGUCUCCUUGCCCCCAGCUCCUCCUUCACAUUCUGAGCCGGAGGGCAGACACGAGCAAAGUCCCGGGAACAGGCAGCUUGAGUGGAUGUCACAAGAGUGGAUGAGCUGAGGAUUGGGAUUGCGGGCAGCGGAGCAGCGGCGUUGAGAGCCCGGCAUCUUGUCAAAUGAAAUUUAUAGACACGGCAAUGACAAUCGGUAAAUUGUCAUGGCCAUGGGCUAAGUUCAUCUUGGGCAUAAUCAGUGCUUAGGGGCAGAUAUCCCGAGCCCGGAGUAAAAACCAUCUCGGACAACUGGGAUGAUUGUCAACAUUAUUAUGGUCCACACACGCACUCACACUCACUGCUUGAUUAUGCUGUGCAUUCGGGACACUCUUUUUAUGCCUGCACUGCGACGUGUGACGGCUUUGAUGAGACAUACACUGCGAGAAAGGAAAUAUCAUUAAAUAAGUAUCAAGAAGGUCAAUAAUGCAGAUGGCAUGUUUAACAAAAAACUUGCUUACAUAUUUCAAUGUAAAAAAGGCCCUUUGCAGAGUGAUAUCU